rnacentral:rRNA from 1 species
UACGAGUGCCCCAAGCGUUAUCCGGAAUUAUUGGGCGUAAAGGGUGUGUAGGUGGUUGUGUUAGUCUUCUGUUAAAGCUCCCGGCUUAACCGGGAAAGUGCAGAGGAAACGGCACGACUAGAGGAUGUGAGAGGUUUAUGGAACUCAAGGUGUAGGGGUGAAAUCCGUUGAAUAUCUUGGGGAACACCAAAAGCGAAGGCAAUAAACUGGCGCAUUCCUGACACUGAACACGAAAGCGUGGGUAGCGAAUGGG